ACGGGGAACCUGGAGGCCAACAUCUGUGACGAGAACGUCAUCUACCCGUUCUGCAACUUCUUCACCUUCUUCACGGGCUCGCUGGUCUCCGUGGACAUCCCGGUCAAGUACCAGAGGAAGUUCAAAGACGCACCUGUGGUCAGCGCCGGACUCUCCGGUAUCUUUGACCUGGGCUUGAAAAACUGUACGGUGGAAGCCACGAAUGAGACGAAUGAAGGGUUCGAUGUGAGGGUCACUCUCGGAGGUCUGCUGCCCUUUGAACUCCGCAUUAACUGGAUUGCCUGCAAUGGGGCAGCGUUCAUUUAUGGCUGACGAGACGUCUUUAUAUGGAAGUUAUACGUAGCCUAAAACGUUUUUGAAAAAGAAAAUUUACACUUGAAAACAUACAUUUUUCAGCCGGCAUAUUUUUAUAAUCAACUGACGCUUUUAUAUUUAUAUAGCGGUUGCAAUGAGAUGUACACUUUAAAAUACAAUAUUUCUACUCUAAGGAACAAGAUCAUUGCAUAGGUUUAGGAAGCAGUUUAUUGUGGAGCAGCAAGUACGAAGGUCCAGUAAUUUGUGUGUAAACAUUUGUCAUAUUUUAAAAACUAAAUAGACACCUGAUUGGUAUAGCAUUUGUAAUAUAAGUUAUAGAAGGAAAAAUAAAAUUUAUGAUGAAAUCA